AGGGGGUUUCAAAUGAUGAGAGCACACGCGGCUCAGAGAUUAUUAUCAACACGAAA
rnacentral:tRNA from 1 species